GCACAAGCGGUGGAGUAUGUUGGUUUAAUUCGACGCAACGCGAAGAACCUUUACCUGGUAUUUUGACACGUCCCGGGGAUCUUUCUAGAAAGGAUUGAGUGCCCGUUCGGGAGCCCGGUGACAGGUGCUGCAUGGCUGUCGUCAGCUCGUGUCGUGAGAUGUUGGGUUAAGUCCCGCAACGAGCGCAACCCUUAUCCUUAGUUACCAUCAUUAAGGUUGGGGACUCUAAAGAUACUGCCCCGUUAACGGGGAGGAAGGUGGGGAUGACGUCAAGUCCUCAUGGCCUUUAUGUCCAGGGCUACACACGUGUUACAAUGGGUUGUACAAAGGGUUGCGAACUCGCGAGAGUAAGCCAAUCCCAAAAAGCAACUCUUAGUUCGGAUUGGAGUCUGCAACUCGACUCCAUGAAGCUGGAAUCGCUAGUAAUCGUGGAUCAGCAUGCCACGGUGAAUACGUUCCCGGGCCUU
rnacentral:rRNA from 1 species